rnacentral:misc_RNA from 1 species
UCAGUUGGUUAGAGCGCGCGCUUGAUAAGCGUGAGGUCGGAAGUUCAAGUCUUCCCAGGCCCACCACUUUCAUCAAGUGAGCAUUCGUCUUCUGGUUACGGGGCCAUAGCUCAGCUGGGAGAGCGCGUGCUUUGCAAGCAUGAGGUCGUCGGUUCGAUCCCGUCUGGCUCCACCAGAUGGUUUGAUUGCCGACGGAGCUUGCGCCUAGGUCUUGCACCAUAAUCGUCCGCGAAACAUCACUUCGCAGCCACUAGUCCGGAUGGACAGUGAGGUUGCGUGAUUUCUGACAUCGUAAAGAGGAGAUCGAUCCGAGUUGGGUCGUGCAGCAAAUUGUUGCGCGAGCCUUCAUUAUCUCCGGAUCAUUUCGGCGCUUGCUUUCGACCGUGAGGUUGGCUGCGAGUUGUAAAUGAUCCUUUUAGCGAAGCUUGACCGCCUCGCUAUCGGAACGAUCUUACGAAGCAAGCUGGUCUUUCUAGUCAAUGUCCGGCUGCAGAUAGCGUUCAUCGAGGGCGCGUGCCGCAAGGUAAUUCUGCAGACAACAUUCUGCCGAGUGUGUGGACAUUGAUAAUGAGAGCAAUCAAGUGCCUUAAGGGUGUUCGGUGGAUGCCUUGGCGCUGAGAGGCGAUGAAGGACGUGCUACGCUGCGAUAA